CCAGCCCCACCCAUCCACCACCAUGGAAGGCUGAGUCUUGGAUACAGCCCAUCUUUACAUCUCUAGCUCCUUGCUUGGUGUCCAGGACUUAAAAGAAAAUGCAUUUGAUGCAACCUGGAAAGCGCUCACAGGCCUAGGUUGAACGUCCUUCUGCCUUUGCUGUGUUGUGGUUCUGAUGAGUUACCUCCACACUCACAGGGUCAGACAGCUGCUGAACAUCGUUAGACGUGCCCAGUCCAUGUGGACUCUCCUGUCACAGACACAGUGUGCCUUUGCGGCCACCACAGCCAUCCUCAUUAGCACAUAUUUUUAUCUUCUCAGUCUUGGGGAUGCACUCAAAUGCUCGCUGACCAAAUGUUCCUAUAAAUAACACCUCAGAUCGUCACCUUCCUAGUUUAUACUUACCUGGAAGCUGAGAUCUGAACGCUCACCUUCUGCUUUAAUAAAGCAGCCCCAUGCAGGCGGUGCAGUCUUACAUUCCCUCCACUCUGCCUUGGGAAUACAUAUGCCCCCCAACCCCUGCCUGCAGUGCUUUAGUGCUUUGCUGUCAGAAUCCUACCCCCUUUGCAAUACGGUGUAACUCCAUCUUCCCCUAAGAAGCUGUCAAGGCCAGGUCUGAUUCAGUACAAGCAAAUACAGUAGCUGUA
rnacentral:lncRNA from 1 species